rnacentral:misc_RNA from 1 species
AGGACAUCAAGCUCUGCUUGGUCUUGGGCGCGGUCCCCCCGACCGGCCUGUAACUGUUAGCGGCGACCGUCGGUCCCUAGGCGUAGCAAAACUAUCCGUCUCUGGGUGCCGCGGGCAGCUGUCUCAAGACCCGGCCACUGGCCACCAAA